GAUAUGCAGACCGCGCCGGCUACAUUAGCACGAAAAAAACCUGUUGUUGAGCUAGCAUGCUAGUUGCAAUUUGCUGAACUUUAUGUUCUCGGUUUCAGUGUGGGUCGUUCAUUAUAGUCUUUCAUUACUGCUACAAUUUUAUUGCACAUUUCCCCUUUACUCCCAUGAAGAAAUAUUCAUUUUCCCACAGUGUCUGAAACUUCCUGCACUCACUUUUUAGCACUCACUUGUGUUUCUUUGGUUCUGCCAUUUUUGGACGCCACAGCAAAACAUUUAAUGUAUUGUUCGUGUUUCUGGAGAGCUACCUUGUAUAAGACAGCAAAAGUGCAAUACAUAGUACUACUAUAUUAGCUAUGUAUUUAUUGAGGUAACGGAGUACAAUAUGUAUUUCUUUAGGUAGCAGAGUACAUUAUGCUUAUUUUGGGUGGGCUAAGAUCCGUUAAGUAAUUACCUUGUAGACAAUUGUAUACAUUAAGUCAAUUUUUAAGUCCAUUUGAUCGAUCGAUUUUUACUGCAAGUAAGCCUAUUUGUUAAUUUUUUCGCAAAUACUUUUAACAAUGCCUAAAUUAAGAGAAUGUACAGAAAGGACUGCGUCCUCCAAAAAUUGUAAUGAGUUCAUCAUCCACAUUCUUUUUAUCAAUUCAGUAAACUUGUUAACUUUGCCUUAGGGUAAACUAUUUCUAUGUUCAGGAUGCGAGUACGCUGUCCACCACAGUGUGGUUCCUACCUGUUGCUGUGUUGAAGGUUUCUUCAGUAACCACCUAAAAACAUGAGGUGGGAUCACGGGUUAGAACGGAGACGGAUCCAGCACACAUACUGGAAAGGACACAGAUCAUCAGACCAAUAAAGAAGACUGUUCCAAAGAAUCCACCAACUAUCAGAGGGACAUUCAAUCCUGGAGGAGACAAAAAAAUGGAUUCGUGGCCACGCAGUAGUAGAUUUCUCUGUAGCUGGACACAUUGAAGCUGUACAAAGAUCCAUCCGACACGUUCAGGGGUCCCUCCGCACUGCUCCGGAACCAGGUGAACCGGAGAACGGGGGGGUUGGCUCUGCUGGUGCAAGUCAGGUUGACCACACUGCCCAGCGACACCGUGGGGGGGCUGACGGAGGCCUGGGUAUCCUUCGGGGAAUCUACAGGAACACAAGAUAAGUCUUCAAUUUCAAGCUAUGGUUCCGCUGUUGACGGAUUUGAAUGCAGUAUGUAAACGCUUUGCGCUUCUCAGCCGCCCCGGCUCACUGAUUGGACCGUCUGCUGGUCACUCACAGGAAACGUUGAGCGUCACAACGCUCUCUGCUGUUCUGAUGCUGGGCCCGCCUGCUGGGACGUUCACCGGAUACUCCGCCAGACAGGUGAGGCGGACCCCGUCAUGUCGGUCCGACAGAGUGAUAUUCAGCCGCCGGGUCCUGACGUUAGGCUCUUGGUCUCCGUGCGGUUCCAGCCGGCCCUCAGGGCCUCCCGACUGGUUCCAGCUCAGGUGAGGCGGCUGGGUGGGACAGGGUGCGAUGGCCCUGCAGGUGAACGUUACCCUGCUCCCCUCCGUUAGUGGUCCCUCCUGGACGGUCUGUAUGGAGGGUGCUGGGGCUGAAUCUACGUGGUUGUUUUCAAGAAACAUUUGUUUUAGGCUGAAAUGUAGCUUCAAUAUCCACAUGAAUGAAUGCAGCAUGUUCAGUGUUCACCAGUGUAUUCCAGAGGGGAGAAUAAUCAUCUUAAACACAUUAAAGAUUCUAUCAGGGAUACGAAGUGUGUCUGACCCCAUAGUCCACAAUAAGUAUUAUUUAUGACGGUAUAUAUACAUGACGGCAUAAAACAUUGAUUAAACAUUCCUUUAUAAUCAAAAUACAAUUCUGUGCUAUCGAUACUUUAAUUCUAUACAAGGAUAACAAGUAUCUCUGACCAAUCAGGACGUAGCUGAAAAUCUAAAAUUAUCAUAAUCAUGGAAAUAGGAAUCCAAAUAAUUAUAAUAAUUGCUGCCCUCAAAAAAUAGACAACCCAAACCAAACGGGUUCUCUUACCUUUAACUGUGAUUGUAAGAGGAUUGCAGAUGUCAGUUGCCCUGAAACCGGUGCUUUCCACUCUGAAGUAAUACACGUCAGCAUAACUUGUGAUUAUGUUUGUAAAAACAGUUGUGCAGUUGUAUUCUGUCAUAUUCCCAAUGAUACUAAUUGGAUACUUAUUAUCUUGAUUGUUGCUGUGGAAAACCACAUUUUCUGGACGACCGUCAAAACUGUGGUCAGAUUUGAUCCAUGCACCCAAAAUGUUUUUGUUUUUAUCUAUUUUAUUUGAUGGUACUGAAUCAAAUGAACAUGGAAUUUGCAAACAGGUGUCACUCAAUGCCUCCAUCUUGUUUGGCAUAGAUGCAUUAAGGGCUGCAGUACAGGAUUCCUCAUCACCUGCAACACAAGCAUUUUUUACACAAAUUGGCCAAUGACAUGCAUCCUUCCUGUCCCACCACAUCCUCCUCUAACAGGCUGGCCACACCUCUUCUAGACCGGCAUCACAUUCUGAACAUACAUACAUUCUGGAUACAUUUCAGUUAUCGAUUACAGGCAGAUAAGCAGUCUGUUAGGUGUAAAACGAAUGACUCAUUCUGGGUCUUGUAAGACGGGUCUGUUGGCGUGGUAUUACCUAAACAUAUUCAGUACUUGGAUCCAAAUAUUCACAAUAAAACAAUUGAACACCACUCACCCGAAACAAAGAUGACAUUCAGUAGCAUUUCCAACUUGAUCAUCGUGAUGUAUCUUGUGAACCUCAUCUCCUGCAUCAUGAAUUCAAAGAAGGUUACUGUUGAGGUUCAUUCGUUUUAGUUUUUACUGUGGACUGGGUUAAGGUAACUACAUCUUCGUUGUUGUACAAAUACUACAAAUAACCAUUAUGGAAAUAGAGUAGGCUACAUGGAACAACAUUAGUAACAAGA